UGGGGAAUAUUGGACAAUGGGCGAAAGCCUGAUCCAGCCAUGCCGCGUGUGUGAAGAAGGUCUUCGGAUUGUAAAGCACUUUAAGUUGGGAGGAAGGGCAGUAAGCGAAUACCUUGCUGUAUUGACGUUACCGACAGAAUAAGCACCGGCUAACUCUGUGCCAGCAGCCGCGGUAAUACAGAGGGUGCAAGCGUUAAUCGGAAUUACUGGGCGUAAAGCGCGCGUAGGCGGUUCGUUAAGUUGAAUGUGAAAGCCCCGGGCUCAACCUGGGAACUGCAUCUAAAACUGGCGAGCUAGAGUAUGGCAGAGGGUGGUGGACUUUCCUGUGUAGCGGUGAAAUGCGUAGAUAUAGGAAGGAACACCAGUGGCGAAGGCGACCACCUGGGCUCAUACUGACACUGAGGUGCGAAAGCGUGGGGAGCAAACAGG
rnacentral:rRNA from 1 species